GAAGAGCACUCCUACGGGAGGCAGCAGUGGGGAAUAUUGCACAAUGGGCGCAAGCCUGAUGCAGCCAUGCCGCGUGUAUGAAGAAGGCCUUCGGGUUGUAAAGUACUUUCAGCAGUGAGGAAGGUGGGUAUGUUAAUAGCAUACUCAUUUGACGUUAGCUGCAGAAGAAGCACCGGCUAACUCCGUGCCAGCAGCCGCGGUAAUACGGAGGGUGCGAGCGUUAAUCGGAAUUACUGGGCGUAAAGCGCAUGCAGGUGGUUUGUUAAGUCAGAUGUGAAAGCCCGGGGCUCAACCUCGGAAUUGCAUUUGAAACUGGCAAACUAGAGUACUGUAGAGGGGGUAGAAUUUCAGGUGUAGCGGUGAAAUGCGUAGAGAUCUGAAGGAAUACCGGUGGCGAAGGCGGCCCCCUGGACAGAUACUGACACUCAGAUGCGAAAGCGUGGGGAGCAAACAGGAUUAGAUACCCUGGUAG
rnacentral:rRNA from 1 species